rnacentral:rRNA from 1 species
GACGAACGCUGGCGGCGUGCUUAACACAUGCAAGUCGAACGAUGAUCAGGGAGCUUGCUUUCUGUGAUUAGUGGCGAACGGGUGAGUAACACGUGAGUAACCUGCCCCAGACUCUGGGAUAACCUCGGGAAACCGGGGCUAAUACCGGAUAUGAAGCGUUCCCGCAUGGUAUGAGUUUGGAAAGAUUUAGCGGUCUGGGAUGGACUCGCGGCCUAUCAGCUGGUUGGUGAGGUAAUGGCUCACCAAGGCGACGACGGGUAGCCGGCCUGAGAGGGCGACCGGCAACACUGGAACUGAGACACGGUACAGACUCCUACGGGAGGCAGCAGUGGGGAAUAUUGCACAAUGGGCGCAAGCCUGAUGCAGCAACGCCGCGUGGGGGAUGAAGGCCUUCGGGUUGUAAACCCCUUUUAGUAGGGAAGAAGCGAAAGUGACGGUACCUACAGAAAAAGCGCCGGCUAACUACGUGCCAGCCGCCGCCGUAA